GUCACCGCUGGGCUCCGGGUGGGGGCCGCGGUCCGGACCGCCGGUCCUCCCAGUAUCCCAGUGAGACAACUUCUGUGAUCUUCUCCACCUUAUGGGUGAAGAAAUGAAGCAUGGAGCAGAUCGGAUUUGUCCAAGCACUGUAGCAAUUGCGUUAUUUCCUGCUAAACCUCUCUCUGAUUCCCCUGUAUUGGGACGUAAGGUCAGCUGUGGAAGAAAAGAGGAAUUAAAACAUUGCUAUAAAUCAUAGGUAACACGGAACCUGCCAUCAGGCUCAUUACAAAGCGUGCGGCUGCGUGUCGUAUGCGCCAACUUCCCAUCACUGUAACCAUCACAGAGCCAUCAGCUUAAAGAGAGGAAAGCGCAUGCUGGAUGCAGGCACUGAGCCCUCCCACGGCCACGCUGCACACUAAGGACCCGGCCGCAGUGGGCCGCAGUCAGGACGUGUGGCUCAGCACCAUGCAGUGCCCCUGGCCCAUCGUGGGUGCCUCAGAUCCCUUGCAGAUUGGAUUAUCUGUCAAGCUGGCCACGGAGCAAGCUCACAGCAGCCUGCCUGCUGCCUCUGCUACACGGAACCGAAGACGAGGGGACGUCUGUCACGUGAGAUUCGACGUGAUGGCAUGAAACUCUCCUACACACAUCCUAUACGCCAUAGAGUAAUCAAAUCAGGAUAAUUACUCUUUGUUUGGCCAACAUCCAAAACUUCUCUUUAGCUGUCUGGAACAUGCAAUGCAUUGCUGUCAGCCGUCUUCAGGCCACCACGCCACACUGCACUGAGAGAGGUCGCGAGACGAGGCCCAAGGCAGCCAGGGACCCAGCUUCCCACCGGGCUGGCCCAGCCUCGGCCGUUUCCACACAUGGGACGCACUACUGCCAGUGAACAGGUCAGCUAAGGCCCCUGCAGAUGCGCUGCCCUGGCGACUCCAGCCCCUUCUCCUCUGACCCCGGCUGGCGGGGCGGGGCUUCUCAGAAGUGCAGGGGCUGCAUCACAGCGGCCCAGCCACCGGCAGGGAGGCAGAGAAAGGACUUCACUGGCCGCAAGUGCGUUACCUCUGGGGCAGGACGGCCCACGAGAGAGCACUCUGUGCUCAGCAUCCCAGCACUCCUACAGUACCGAGGUGGGCCUGGGGGCAAUGCCGAGGGGAGGGAGGCACUUCUUUAGCAAGGAGAUUCUACCAGCAGGAAACAAAGAGGAAAAUCAAUAUUCCCGUGUGUAGGCCAGGGCAAGUGCUAGAGCUGUGCAGGUCAUUAAAGAGCAAUGACUACAAAUAAAAACCAACGCCUCUCAUCAUUAGUAGUAAAGUUGCUGUUGAGUUUUAUUCCUCUCAUCAGGAGAUGGACAUAAAUUUCCACACAGGGCAACAUGGAAAGUACACUGACUUCCAAGUCUUGAACACAGAAGACUGAAAAUAUCCUGCUUAGAAACUGUAAUAAAAUUUUCUAAUAACAGACAUAUUCUGGGUUGGGUUUUUUAAGGAGAAAAUGACGUUAAUAGCACGGUGAUGAUGAUGGUGGUGAUGAUGAUGGUGACCGCAGUGAGGAUCUAAUGGAAAGACGGGCCCGAUCCCAACCUGAGAGGAAACAGUGCCAAGCCCGAGCCAGUCAGUGGUCUGGGCAGCGGCCCUGCCCACUCCUCCUCAGUUUUUCUGCAUCUCUUUUUUCUCAAAGUCUGUGGAGCCACUCUCGCCGUGGGAAGCACCGGACACGGGGGUGGGGACACCUCGAUCUCAGGCAUUGGGAUGACAGCGGCUCACCCUCCCUCCCUGUGAGCACCCAGGCGGGUUUGAGGUGAUGCAUGCUCAUCGGAGAGCCCCAGGGUAACAGGAAGGAGAGGGAGAACCCACCUCAUCCAAAUCCUCGGUGCCAGAGAGACUCGCUGUGGUUUUCUGACUUCACUGGUACAGCCAGGUGUAGGUGUGCGGACGUUGGAAGAGAGACAGACAGACAGACACAGAGAUGAGAGGGGAGAAUCUACGUUCCUUUCUCUCCCCUGACCCUGCUAAUGAUUAACAUACCUGAGCUUCUCCCUGUGUCCAGUGGAGAUUCUUUGAUUUCAGCGAAACUUAAGAGUUGGCUCAAGUUCGGCAGACUCUGUGAACGAGGACUUCCAAGGUGGUUCUGACACCUUUCAGAGAAGGAGGGAAGCAGACUUUUUCAUACCGGUGAGUUCCUUUAUGCCUCCAA